rnacentral:rRNA from 1 species
CCCUUAGAUGUUCUGGGCCGCACGCGCGCUACACUGACGAAUGCAACGAGCUUAUAACCUUGGCCGAAAGGUCUGGGUAAUCUCCAAAUUUCGUCGUGAUGGGGAUAGAUUAUUGCAAUUAUUAAUCUUCAACGAGGAAUGCCUAGUAAGCGCGAAUCAUCAGUUCGCGUUGAUUACGUCCCUGCCCUUUGUACACACCGCCCGUCGCUCCUACCGAUUGAAUGGUCCGGUGAAAAUUUCGGAUACCGGCGUUGCUGGCGGUUCGCCGCCGGCGACGCUGGUAGAAGAUCUUUAAACCUUAUCAUUUAGAGGAAGGAGAAGUCGUANCA